rnacentral:piRNA from 1 species
UAGAAUGUAGGGCCAACCCUUGGUGGCUUUU